UACGUAGGGUGCAAGCGUUGUCCGGAAUUAUUGGGCGUAAAGAGCUCGUAGGCGGUUUGUUGCGUCGGCUGUGAAAUCCCGAGGCUCAACCUCGGGUCUGCAGUCGAUACGAGCAAACUAGAGUGUUGCAGGGGAGACUGGAAUUCCUGGUGUAGCGGUGAAAUGCGCAGAUAUCUGGAGGAACACCGGUGGCGAAGGCGGCAUCCUGGACCGACACUGACGCUGAGGAGCGAAAGCCAGGGGAGCAAACGGG
rnacentral:rRNA from 1 species